rnacentral:rRNA from 1 species
UACGGAAGGUGCAAGCGUUGUUCGGAGUGACUGGGCGUAAAGGGCGCGUAGGCUGGAGAGUAAGAAGAUUGUGAAAACCCUGGGCUCAACCCGGGACGUGCAGUUUUGACUGCUCUUCUUGAAUGUCUGAGAGGUUAGUGGAAUUGCAGGUGUAGGAGUGAAAUCCGUAGAUAUCUGCAGGAACACCGGAGGCGAAGGCGGCUAACUGGUGGAGCAUUGACGCUGAGGCGCGAAAGCGCGGGUAGCAAACAGG